GUGUUGUGCCUGCUCAUCGCCGGCCGCGCGGAUGGCCAGGACGAGUACGUCCCUGCUACCGCGGGGAGCCAAGAGGUGGAGCCGCAGCCGGGGCUGCUGCCGGGGGCCUCCCUGGCCAAGGCGUUCACAGGCGGCUACUUCCCGCAGCAGCCCAAGGCCGAGCCGGAGCCGGAGCAGACGACCACGGAACCGGAGCCGGAGCCGGAGCAGACGACCAGGGAACCGGAGCCGGUCACGCCCACGCGCGACCAGGGCGAUUUCUACCGCACCGGCGUGACCCCGACCGCGCCGGAGCCGCCGGCGAUGCUAACCUCCCCAGAGACGUGGGAGAAGCCGUGGACGCCAUUUGUACCCAAGACGUCGGCGAUUGUUCCCAAGACGCCGACGUAUGUGCCCGAGACGCCGGCGUUUGUGCCCAAGACGCCAUAAUUACCAUGGGCCUUAAAAUUAUUCCCUCCAUCAUGGUUUAAAAGCGCGUGUUUGAAAAUUCUUUCGAACCUAUGUGGUUAUUGAUUGACUGUGAGAUGAGCUGAAAAAUAGCAUUCACAAUCAAAUGCAUAUAAAAGUAGUACAACGAAAUACUAAUUAGCUGCUAAGAGUAAAUUCAAUGCGCCUUAAACCUUGUUUAUUGUGAAAAUGCACGUAAAUUUAACCGUGCCUUCUAAACUGUGACGAAGGAAAUAUAAACGAUGUAUCGAGGCUGACGGGUCUUUUAAACCCGAAAGGAAGUAGUAUUUAAUAGGUCUGAUCGUAGAACAUAUAUGUGCAUCAUCAUCACAUCAGAACCAAUAGUAACAUAAAACAUGACCUACAAAGAUGGACGAUCAUGAGGCAACACGAUAGAGAGACAGAACUACUCAUCCUCCGGUUUAGCAACAAUGAAACCGAGAAAGAGAAAUCUCCCAUCACGUCCAUGGUGGAGCACGAAGAUCAUCAUGUCUUCAAUAUCUAUGUCGUACAUACGACUACUUUGCUCCACCCAUUAAAACCAAUAUUUCCAUCUCCUUGUCACGAAUACGAGUAUGAAGUCGAACCGAGAUGUUAACACUAGGAUGGAGCACAAUGGUUAUAGCUCUUCAUUUGCACUCAUCUCCUUAGGCACAGUAAGUUGUGGGAGUAUCUGGUGAGAGAACACAAUUUGAACACUUUAAGGAAUCUAGAUAAUUGCCGGAGUAUCUGAAGAUAAUGAGUAUGUUGUCAAUAUUGGCCUUGUUCAAACAGUAUUGCGGGGGCAUGUAGGAAUGAUCUCUCGGUCCAGCAUUGUAACCAUUCACGAGCCUUCAAAUUUGAUCAACAAAGCCGAUGGCAAACCUCAUCUCUUCCUAGCUUACUCAUCUUCCGUCAUUAACCUCCAUAUUUUCUAUAAAGUGUUUUGUUACAGUAUUCACUCUGUAAUAAGCUAUCAAAAUAUUUGUAAAUAAGAUCACUUAAAUAUAGCAUCCGGAUGAAAUGUGAUUAUAUAAAUCUAGCUGUAAAUAUGGUUACUUAAAAUUAAUUGCUGGAUAUUUGCCAGAAUCAUUACACGGAUGAGUUAUUGUAUAUCAUUGCUCAAACGUAGACGAUUAGGUUUUCCACCUAGUCCGAGGGGCAUCUCUACACGUACUUCGAACUGAUAUAUUUUGACAAAUUCUUUCCAAAUACGUCAUGUGAAAAAUGUCUUAUCUUUUUAGUUCCUGACCCUGCAUACUUGAAAACAAAAGCUCUCUCCUGUCUUAGAUCUAUUUAUAACUUUACUCAUAUGCACUAUAACCCGUAGCAAUUACCUUUGUUUACACGUAUGAGGAAUUAGCGAAACACACGUUCUUCAGUUAGGUCAUCCAUUAUUGUUGGCAAUAACAUGGUUUAGGACAUCCAUUUCAAUGUGGUUGGUUCGAAAAAUAGCAGUGGCCAUCAAUCCAUGCCGAAAUUAGCAUCUCUCUCCCGGUACAUAAACAGCGUACGCACCAGCAUGCAAAAAAUUCUAAACCACCCACUUCCACGUUAACCGACCAUGCACGCCGAUCAGCUAGUACCGGCGGUCGUCGCCGCCGUGGCCGUGUUGUGCCUGCUCAUCGCCGGCCGCGCGGACGGCCAGGACGAGUACGUCCCUGCUGCCGCGGGGAGCGAAGAGGCGGUGGAGCCGCAGCCGGGGACCGCCGCAGCCGGCGGCGAGGAGUACGUCCCGCAGCCGGGGUUGCUGCCGGGGGCCUCCCUAGCCAAGGCGUUCACCGGCGGCUACUUCCCGCAGCAGCCCAAGGCCGAGCCGGAGCCGGAGCAGACGACCACGGAACCGGAGCCGGAGCCGGAGCAGACGACCAGGGAACCGGAGCCGAUCACGCCCACGCGCGACCAGGGCGAUUUCUACCGCACCGGCGUGACGCCGACCGCGCCUGAGCCGCCUGCGAUGCUAACCUCGCCGGAGACGUGGGAGAAGCCGUGGACGCCAUUUGUACCCAAGACGCCGUCGUAUGUGCCCCAGACGCCGGCGUUUGUUCCCAAGACGCCGUCGUAUGUGCCCCAGACGCCGGCGUAU
rnacentral:lncRNA from 1 species